rnacentral:rRNA from 1 species
GCUCAACCGAGGAAGUGCUUCGAAAACUGGUAAACUUGAGUGCAGAAGAGGAAAGUGGAACUCCAUGUGUAGCGGUGGAAUGCGUAGAUAUAUGGAAGAACACCAGUGGCGAAGGCGGCUUUCUGGUCUGUAACUGACGCUGAGAUUCGAAAGCAUGGGUAGCAAACAGGAUUAGAUACCCUGGUAGUCCAUGCCGUAAACGAUGAGUGCUAAGUGUUGGAGGGUUUCCGCCCUUCAGUGCUGCAGCUAACGCAUUAAGCACUCCGCCUGGGGAGUACGAUCGCAAGAUUGAAACUCAAAGGAAUUGACGGGGGCCCGCACAAGCGGUGGAGCAUGUGGUUUAAUUCGAAGCAACGCGAAGAACCUUACCAGGUCUUGACAUACCAUGAAAAGCUCAGAGAUGAGUCUUUCCCUUCGGGGACAUGGAUACAGGUGGUGCAUGGUUGUCGUCAGCUCGUGUCGUGAGAUGUUGGGUUAAGUCCCGCAACGAGCGCAACCCUUAUUAUCAGUUGCCAGCAUUCAGUUGGGCACUCUGGUGAGACUGCCGGUGAUAAACCGGAGGAAGGUGGGGACGACGUCAAAUCAUCAUGCCCCUUAUGACCUGGGCUACACACGUGCUACAAUGGUCGGUACAACG